CACAGGUGCUGCAUGGCUGUCGUCAGCUCGUGUCGUGAGAUGUUGGGUUAAGUCCCGCAACGAGCGCAACCCUUGUCAUUAGUUGCUACAUUCAGUUGGGCACGUCUAAUGAGACUGCCGGUGACAAGCCGGAGGAAGGUGGGGAUGACGUCAAGUCCUCAUGGCCCUUAUAGGUGGGGCUACACACGUCAUACGAUGGCUGGUACAAAGGGUUGCCAACCCGCGAGGGGGAGCCAAUCCCAUAAAGCCAGUCGUAGUCCGGAUCGUAGUCUGCAACUCGACUACGUGAAGUCGGAAUCGCUAGUAAUCGUGGAUCAGAAUGUCACGGUGAAUACGUUCCCGGGUCUU
rnacentral:rRNA from 1 species